rnacentral:rRNA from 1 species
UACGUAGGUGGCAAGCGUUGUUCGGACUUAUUGGGCGUAAAGGGCGCGUAGGCGGCUUGUUAAGUCGGUUGUGAAAGCCCGGGGCUCAACCCCGGAAAGUCGACCGAUACUGGCAGGCUAGAGUACGGAAGAGGUAGCUGGAAUUCCCGGUGUAGCGGUGAAAUGCGUAGAUAUCGGGAGGAACCCCUGAGGCGAAGGCAGCCCCCUGGGUCGAUACUGACGCUCAUGCACGAAAGCGUGGGGAGCAAACAGG